rnacentral:rRNA from 1 species
GGGUAAUGGCCUCCAAGGCGACGACGGGUAGCCGACCUGAGAGGGUGACCGGCCACACUGGGACUGAGACACGGCCCAGACUCCUACGGGAGGCAGCAGUGGGGAAUAUUGCACAAUGGGCGAAAGCCUGAUGCAGCGACGCCGCGUGAGGGAUGACGGCCUUCGGGUUGUAAACCUCUUUCAGCAGGGACGAAGCGAAAGUGACGGUACCUGCAGAAGAAGCACCGGCCAACUACGUGCCAGCAGCCGCGGUAAUACGUAGGGUGCGAGCGUUGUCCGGAAUUACUGGGCGUAAAGAGCUCGUAGGCGGUUUGUCACGUCGUCUGUGAAAACCAGCAGCUCAACUGCUGGCUUGCAGGCGAUACGGGCAGACUUGAGUACUGCAGGGGAGACUGGAAUUCCUGGUGUAGCGGUGAAAUGCGCAGAUAUCAGGAGGAACACCGGUGGCGAAGGCGGGUCUCUGGGCAGUAACUGACGCUGAGGAGCGAAAGCGUGGGUAGCGAACAGGAUUAGAUACCCUGGUAGUCCACGCCGUAAACGGUGGGUA